GACGAACGCUGGCGGCGUGCUUAACACAUGCAAGUCGAACGAAGAGCGAUGGAAGCUUGCUUCUAUCAAUCUUAGUGGCGAACGGGUGAGUAACGCGUAAUCAACCUGCCCUUCAGAGGGGGACAACAGUUGGAAACGACUGCUAAUACCGCAUACGAUCUAAUCUCGGCAUCGAGGAUAGAUGAAAGGUGGCCUCUACAUGUAAGCUAUCACUGAAGGAGGGGAUUGCGUCUGAUUAGCUAGUUGGAGGGGUAACGGCCCACCAAGGCGAUGAUCAGUAGCCGGUCUGAGAGGAUGAACGGCCACAUUGGGACUGAGACACGGCCCAGACUCCUACGGGAGGCAGCAGUGGGGAAUCUUCCGCAAUGGACGAAAGUCUGACGGAGCAACGCCGCGUGAGUGAUGACGGCCUUCGGGUUGUAAAGCUCUGUUAAUCGGGACGAAAGGCCUUCUUGC
rnacentral:rRNA from 1 species